GAUGAACGCUGGCGGCGUGCUUAAUACAUGCAAGUCGAACGGAGACAGUAGCAAUAUUGUCUGAGUGGCGAACGGGUGAGUAACGCGUUGGUGACCUGCCCCGAAGAGAGGGAUAACAGUCCGAAAGGAUUGCUAAUACCCCAUGUGGUUAUUUGGAGUAGAUGCCUUAUAACUAAACGGAUUUAUUCGCUUCGGGAGGGACCUGCGUCCCAUCAGCUAGUUGGUAGGGUAACGGCCUACCAAGGCUAUGACGGGUAGGGGACCUGAGAGGGUGGCCCACCACAAUGGAACUGAAACACGGUCCAUACACCUACGGGUGGCAGCAGUAGGGAAUAUUGGUUAAUCUGCGAAAGCGGGAACCAGCAACGCCGCGUGCACGAUGAAGGCCUUCGGGUUGUAAAGUGCUUUUUGAAAGGAUGAGGAAGGACAGUACUUUCAGAAUAAGCUUCGGCUAACUACGUGCCAGCCGCCGCGGUAAGAC
rnacentral:rRNA from 1 species